UAACCAUUUUCAGAUUUCACCUUUUUUCUUUCUUUUUUUACGACUUUGACUUUCAAUAAAAAAGAAAUCUGAAAUCCCAUCUCAGCUUUUCGAUUCACCAUGUUUUUGUUUCUUCUUUCCUCCGAUGUAUCCGGAAAGCAUCUGGAGCUAUCUCUGCUCCUUGCGCCAUCGAGGAUGGUAUCUUCAUUAUAUCAAAAUUAAUGAUGCUCGUCAAAUCCGAUGCUAUGGCGGAGUGAAGAUCUAAAGAGUGUGAGUUUUAUUACGGUGUGAGAGUGAUGAGGAGGUGUUGUGCUUUGAUGGUGUUUUCUCCUCGCAACUCUGAGGAGAAGAAGCCUUAUUUGAAUAAAGUUGUUGAGCUUAAGGUCGAGUAUGUCAAGGCCUUGGAAUAAGAAAAUUAUGCUUAUAAUGAAGAUGAUGGAGAUGUUAUGUUGCUGAUAAAAAAGAUGGUGAAGAGGAGGUGCAUGAAGUAUUUGACAGUAAACUGUUAGCAUACUAUUAGUAAUAUGUUAGCAUACUGAUAAUAAUUUUAUUUAUGAAAAAAAUUGCUUCUUUGGUGGUUCAAUAUGAAAAUGUUGGGACUGUGAUCACUGAGUAUGAUGUAGUUGUUGCUUUGUAAAUUAUAUUUGGCAUUACAGGAUGUCUCCUUUGGAGACAGUGUUCAA